rnacentral:rRNA from 1 species
UGAGUGUGUGGCCUAACUUCGAUUCCCGUGAAUCCGGGCGAAGGACAGUGUGUGCUGGGUAGUUUGACUGGGGCGGUCUCCUCCUAAAGAGUAACGGAGGAGCGCAAAGUUUGGCUCAGCACGGAUGGAAACCGUGUGUUAGAGUGUAAGAGCACAAGCCAGAUUUACUGCGAGUCCGACAGGACGAGCAGUCUCGAAAGAGGGCUCUAGUGAUCCUGCGAUCGCGUGUGGAAGCGUCGUAGCUCAUCGGAUAAAAGGUACUCCGGGGAUAACAGGCUUAUCGCUCCCGAGCGUCCAUAGCGGCGGAGCGGUUUGGCACCUCGAUGUCGGCUCAUCACAUCCUGGGGCUGAAGGCGGUCCCAAGGGUUAGGCUGUUCGCCUAUUAAAGUGGUACGCGAGCUGGGUUCAGACCGGCGUGAGCCAGGUCGGUCCCUAUCUGCUGUGGGCGUUGCAAACUUGAGAGGAGUCAACCUUAGUACGAGAGGAUUGGGUUGGACUGACCCCUGGUGAUCCUGUUGUUCCGCUAGGAGCAUCGCAGGGUAGCUACGUCGGGCAGGGAUAACAGCUGAAAGCAUCUAAGCAGGAAGCCCCCCUCAAGAUCAGGUUUGCUAGUCUUUGACGAGAGACCCCUGGAAGACUACCAGGUUGAUAGGCCGCAAGUGUAAGGAUUGAGAUGUCCUCAGCUGAGCGGUACUAACGGUCGAAGGUUUGAUCUC